rnacentral:rRNA from 1 species
CCUACGGGUGGCAGCAGUGGGGAAUAUUGGACAAUGGGGGCAACCCUGAUCCAGCCAUGCCGCGUGUGUGAAGAAGGCCCUCGGGUUGUAAAGCACUUUCAGUGAGGAAGAACGCCUGGUGGUUAAUACCCAUCAGGAAAGACAUCACUCACAGAAGAAGUACCGGCUAACUCCGUGCCAGCAGCCGCGGUAAUACGGAGGGUGCGAGCGUUAAUCGGAAUUACUGGGCGUAAAGCGCGCGUAGGUGGCUUGAUAAGCCGGUUGUGAAAGCCCCGGGCUCAACCUGGGAACGGCAUCCGGAACUGUCAAGCUAGAGUGCAGGAGAGGAAGGUAGAAUUCCCGGUGUAGCGGUGAAAUGCGUAGAGAUCGGGAGGAAUACCAGUGGCGAAGGCGGCCUUCUGGACUGACACUGACACUGAGGUGCGAAAGCGUGGGUAGCAAACAGGAUUAGAUACCCCUGUAGUC